rnacentral:lncRNA from 1 species
ACCCACCCUCCCCGUGUGCACUCUCAGGGGCAGCGCCCACCUGCCGGGGGCUCCUGCUCACACGUCUUCAGGUCGUACUGCGGGGUGGGCCCUCCGUUCCGCCUCUCCGUGGGCCUCUCUCCAGGACCACAGCUGCCAGGGACUUUAGACAUCACCCUGGGAGGCCCCUGGACACAGAGGGCUGUGUGCCCAGGAGCAAAUCCGGAGGGGGGCCCUCCUGGCUGCACAGCCCCUUCUGCGUGCCCUGGUCCCAGCCCCAGCCAACGGGACACGGAAGGCUCCCCUCCCUGACACACCACACUGCCACAAAGCUGCUUACUCUGCCCUGGGCCGCCUGAGGCCUGGCACUGCCCGCGGACCACCCUGUGUGUGUCAUCCUGAGGGGCUGUGUGGGUCCUGAGUCCCCAGCCAGCCUUCAGGGUCCCCUUGGAUUGUGUAGAUGCAGUCUAGCGGGGGGCCGGAGAAGGGCUCAGGUGGGAGGGGCCUCAGCAGGCUCCCAGCUCAGGGGCUGGCCUGGGGGGAACCCUGGGAGCCAGGGGCUGACUCCAGCAACACUGGCCUGUCUGCCUGUUCUGGGAGGGCUGUGAGGAUGUCUUGCAGAUGCUCUGGAUUUCUGCGGAGGCACCUCCAUUCCUUUCUGGCUUUUUUUGCGGGGGAGGGCUUUGGGCCUCUUUCUUUGAGGGAACACCGUCAAAGAAAGCCUGGGAGAUCGAGGCUGCAGUGAGCCAGGAUGGAAACGCCUGUCCCAAGGGUCCGGAGCAGGCGGCAGAGGCCUCAGUGCGGCAAACACAGCCCCAGAGCCUGUGUGGCACCAGCAGCAUCUUAGAGCCCCAGCUUCUGUGGAUGACCUCUGAUGAGCCUGGGCUGCGUCCAGGCCCUGGGCAGGUUCUGUUUUCAAAGUUGUUCUCCCCUUGAGGUCCCAGAUGACCAGCUGAGCUGUGCAAGGGCCACGGCUCCAAGGAAGGCCGGAGCUACUUGGAGGUUGUCCCCAGGCCCUUUGUCCACAGUGACAGACACCCAGACCAGACCAUGCUGCAGUGACUGGUAAGGGUGCCACCCAGAGAGGGAUCUCCAGGGACCGCCGAUGGUGCUGUAUGUCUGGGGCUGUCUGUCUUGGGCCGCCUGGGCCCUCCCAGCAGCAGCUGUGUUUCUGCUGGGUCGGGAGACAUGCCAGGACCACUGCUGGGGGACCAGCGCAUUCCACGGACACGUCACAUUUAGAGCAGCCUGAUUUGCUGGUGGUGGGCUCCACAUGUCUGAAAACACAGGAGUGACCUGCAGGCCUGGAGGCUUCCAGAAGCUUCCAGCAGUGGAGAGGAGUCCAGGACUGGGAAGGUGUUGAGACAGAACCUAAGCAUGUGGCUGCUGCGGCUUCCUGCAGAGAUCUCAGGCAGCGCGCAGCCGCUUCGGAGGGAGUUGGGAGCUGGUUAGGAGACAGGAUCCAUCCUUACGAGGCGGCUGGUCCAUACAGCGGCUCCCCUCCCGCUGCAGGUGGCCUCGGUUGCCUGCGAAGGAGGGAAGUGGCCCCAGGGACUCAGGGUGGCGGCCAGACCUGUGUGAGCUGGGAAGGACAGGUGUGGGCAGGGAGGGCCGCUGGCUGCUCCUGGGGACGGUGGGAAGUGGAGGUAGCUGCAGACCGGCCUGGAGGUCAGGAACGUGCUGGGAAGGUUCUGGAAUCAGAGCUGCCCGGCGCUGGCUGGAUGAGAGGCCCCCAGUGACCGCAGUGGGUUUGGGAGUGAGGAGCCUGGCACCAG